rnacentral:rRNA from 15 species
UUGCAGACGACUUGAAUGGGAACGGGGUACUGUAAGCGGUAGAGUAGCCUUGUUGCUACGAUCCGCUGAGGUUAAGCCCUUGUUCUAAAGAUUUGU